CUGCAGGCGCCCGCCACCACGCCCGGCUAACUUUUUGUAUUUUUAGUAGAGACAGGGUUUCACUGUGUUAGCUAAGAUGGUCUCGAUCUCCUGAACUUGUGAUCUGCCCACCUUGGCCUCCCAAAGUGCUGGGAUUGCAGGUGUGAGCCACCACGCCUGGCCGGGUGUCAGUCUUAUAAUUAGGGAGGCAGAGGCAAGCCUAGUGUUAGGUAUGGUGUUGAAUUUUAGGCUGGCAGGGUGGGCCUGAUUCUAUCUAGCGUGCACCUAGAGAUAGAGUAUACACGGCAGACCUGGAGCCAGAAUCUGUGGGGCUGGUCAGACCCUGGGGUGGGCCUGUAGCCAAAAGCUACAGGGGCCAAGCAGGUGCCCUGCCAGUUGGGAGCCUGAAGAUGCUGGGGUUGGCCUGAGGUGGGUGGUCCUGGAGACUGAGUUUGCCAGGCAGGCCUGGAGCCUGGGAUUGCAGAAUCCAGCCCGGCACCAGGGCAGGUAUGAUGGCUCAGGCUGAGGGUAGGAGUUUGGGGUUUGGGGCCUUAGGGACCUGCCUGGUCCUGGGCUUUACUGGGGCAGGCCUAGUAUUGGAGUCCAAGCCAAAGUCUGGUGCUUACUUUCCUCUCCUUUCCCCAAUCAGACAGUAUAUCUCUCCACAUUGUGUCUGAAUUUGGAGGAGGGAACAUGAGUAAGACGUGCCUUUCACCUUCUUCCACGAUUAUGAGGACUGCCAGCCACUUGGAACUGUGAGUCUAUUUACCCUCUUUUUCUUUAAAAAUUAUCUAGUCUUCGGUAUCUUUUUCAGUGCAUGAAAAAUGGACUAGUACAUACAUAUAUGUCAGAAAAAGCUUAUUACAGAAAUGUGCCCACUUGAUUAUGGAGGCCAUGGAGGGACUCAUCCAAGUCUGAAGGACUGAGAACCAGGGUUAUUCCUGUUGUAACCCCUAGUCCAAAGCUGAAAUCCUAAGAAGUGAUGGGAGGGUAUUGGUGGGAAAGGCACUGGACCAAAUCCCAGAGUCUGAAGUCCUGAGAACCACGAGCACCCAUGUCCAAGCACAGAAAAAGAUGGAUGUUCCAACUCAAGGGGAGAGAGAAUUCAUCUUUCUUCUGUCAUUUUGUUCUAUUUAGGCUCACAAGGGAUUGGAUGAUGCCUGCCCACACUGGUGAUGGUAGAUCUUCUUUACUUAGUCCACUGAUUUAAAUGCUAUAUUCUUUCAGAAACCCCCUCACAGACACACUCAGAAAUAAUAUUUUACCAGCUAUUUGAGCAUCCCUGAACCCAGUCAAGCUGACAUAUAAAAUUAACCAUUACAAUUUGUUUCACAGAUUUGUAUCAAUUAUCUGUUAUUCAUUUAGUUUUAUACUGCUAGACUUUGAGGGAAAAUGUUGAGAAAUUUUAAAA
rnacentral:lncRNA from 10 species